rnacentral:rRNA from 1 species
CCCUGCCAUUUGUACACACCGCCCGUCGCUGCUACCGAUUGGAUGAUCCGGUGAAAUCCUCGGACUGACGUGGAUUACCUAGCUGCAAGGUUAGGUGCCAUGUUGGGAAGUUGAUUAAACCUUAUCAUCUAGAGGAAGCAAAAGUCGUAA